AUGUCCUAAAAAUGAGCCACACUUUAGCUGCUACUGAAAAUCAGAACUGCAGCCCAGUUGUCAGCCGUGCUGCUUAACUUGUUUGUUUUGUAACAAUGAGCAUAACACGUGCAGCUUGAUGCUCAAGAGGAUUUCGGAGUAUCUACCUCAGGGCUGGCUGAGAAGCAAUCUGCAGCCCUUGGGUGGAUCUCUUAAUUACUCAUGUUGUACAAAGUUGUGUUACAGGCGUCCUGUUGUUCUGGGGCCUUUGAGCACCUUUCGUUACCUGUCAGCUUGGGUUUAACAGGUGGCUUCUCUCCUGCCUGGGCUGAGCUUGCGUGGCUGAGCGUGAUAUACUGCGAGACGCCUGCAAGUCUCCCAGGCCAGGUGUGAUGUAUGGUAGAAACACUUUUAUGUGGGCGCUGUGGGCUUUCUUCUCUCUGCAGACGUGGCUGGAAGUCGCAGGGAUGCAAAGUUACAAUAUUGGAUUGGGAUAACCUACGCUUGCUGAGGGAGCGAAAAUAUCUGCUGGUUUUGGGGCAGUAUUGUGAGAUAUAGGAGUUAAUUAUGUGAAACUGUGAAUGCUGAAUGUUCGAGAAUUAAUCCUGUGGCUCUGUAAGUGAGGGGGUCUUUGGCAAAGCUUGCAAGGGAAGGGCAGAAAUGUGUCAUUUCUGGUGCUUUAAAUUCUUUAUAUUGUGCUAGAAAGCACCCAGGAAUGAACUUGGACUGCUUGGUGAUUGAUCAGAGGUUUGUGCUGUGUGGUUUGUUUUUUUGAUCCCUUGCACUGUGGUCUGUGAGAGUGAAAUCCACUGCUACGCCUGGGGUCAGCAUCUACAUAGGAACAUGGGCUGACCCAAUGCGUUUUCUUUCUGCAAAAUACUAAAAAUACAGGCGUGAGCUAGAUAGGUCAGUGUUUGCAUCCAUGCCAAAAUCAGCUCGCCUGACUAACCUCUCCCAAAGGCGUCUAGUGCCUAAUGCCAGGGCUCAGGAGCUGUCAGCGCAGAAGCAAAGUUGGGAAUUGCUAGAACAAUAACAGAACCGAAAAUUUUGCUCCACAUGGAGCUGUGAUACCUACCUCCUGGAAAAACUGUGGUUCUCAUCAUGCCAUCUCCCAAAGCUUUUCAGCAGAACUGGAAGAUAAGAAAGUGGCAAUGAUUAACCAGACUAAUAAAACCUCUACCACAGAGGACAUAUGGAAGGAUGCAGCCCAGGAGAUCCUUAAACGGCAUACUACUAGAAGCUAGAGAACAUGCCCAGAAAAAAAUUACUUGUGCCAUGCUUUAUCCUUUUUCCUAAACACUUAUCAUUGUUCUCUGGCUGGAGAAGAGACGAAGCUGCACGGGUGUUUCAGCUGAGCUGCUCAGGUAUGUCCUGAUUGAAACUUUCCUGCUGGAAAUCAGCCUGCAGAGAAGGCCCUGGGGGUCCUGAAGGACAACAAGUUGACCGUGAGCCAGCAGUGUGCCCUUGUGGCCAAGAAGGCCAACGGUAUCCUGGGCUGCAUUGGGAAGAGGUUGAGAGAGGUGAUCGUCCCCCUCUCCUCAGCCCUGAUGAGGCCACACCUGGAGUGCUGC